GAUGAACGCUGGCGGCGUGCCUAAUACAUGCAAGUCGAGCGGCAGCACGGUCUUCGGACUGGUGGCGAGCGGCGGACGGCUGAGUAACGCGUAGGAACAUGCCCCAAAGUGAGGAAGAACUGCCCGAAAGGGUGGCUAAUGCCGCAUGUGGUCUUCGGACUAAAGCUGUAUUCGCUUUGGGAGUGGCCUGCGUCUGAUUAGCUUGUUGGUGAGGUAAUGGCUCACCAAGGCGACGAUCGGUAGCUGGUCUGAGAGGAUGAUCAGCCAGACUGGAACUGAGAACGGUCCAGACUCCUACGGGAGGCAGCAGUAGGGAAUUUUCCACAAUGGGCGAGAGCCUGAUGGAGCAACGCCGCGUGCAGGAUGAAUGCCUUCGGGUUGUAAAGCUCUUUCGGCCGGGAAGAAAUCGCACGGGCUAAUACCCUGUGUGGAUGACGGUACCGGAAUAAGAAGCACCGGCUAACUAC
rnacentral:rRNA from 1 species